GUCUCACGUAUUUCGGUAUCAUAGCGUUGUGCAAUACAGUAAAUUUCUACGUAGUGUCAGCGGUGCGUUUGUGCUGGGUUAGCUGCCAUUACUCACCAUGAGUUCUUGAUCUAGGGAUCGUAUUGGGAAUGAAUCCAUUAAUCAUCUGCUUACUAUCGAAAUUGCCAAUUAAUUUGCUAAUUGGACUUAUAGAAACCGACUGCACCUACCUCCUCAGUUCACUUAAGACUACUGUUAACCAACUAUAAGCUAACAAAAUAAGCUUGAGUACAGUA